rnacentral:rRNA from 1 species
UACGUAGGGGGCUAGCGUUGUCCGGAAUCAUUGGGCGUAAAGCGCGUGUAGGCGGUCCGGUAAGUCCGCUGUGAAAGUCGGGGGCUCAACCCUCGGAUGCCGGUGGAUACUGUCGGGCUUGAGUACGGAAGAGGCGAGUGGAAUUCCUGGUGUAGCGGUGAAAUGCGCAGAUAUCAGGAGGAACACCAAUGGCGAAGGCGGCUCACUGGCCCGGUACUGACGCUGAGGCGCGAAAGCGUGGGGAGCAAACAGG